CGGAGGGGGCUAGCGUUGUUCGGAAUUACUGGGCGUAAAGCGUACGUAGGCGGCUUUGUAAGUUAGAGGUGAAAGCCCGGAGCUCAACUCCGGAAUUGCCUUUAAGACUGCAUCGCUUGAAUCAUGGAGAGGUUAGUGGAAUUCCGAGUGUAGAGGUGAAAUUCGUAGAUAUUCGGAAGAACACCAGUGGCGAAGGCGACUAACUGGACAUGUAUUGACGCUGAGGUACGAAAGCGUGGGGAGCAAACAGGAUUAGAUACCCUGGUAGUCCACGCCGUAAACGAUGAUGACUAGCUGUCGGGGCGCUUAGCGUUUCGGUGGCGCAGCUAACGCGUUAAGUCAUCCGCCUGGGGAGUACGGCCGCAAGGUUA
rnacentral:rRNA from 1 species